rnacentral:rRNA from 1 species
UACGUAGGGUGCGAGCGUUAAUCGGAAUUACUGGGCGUAAAGGGUGCGCAGGCGGUUGUAUAAGUCAGCUGUGAAAUCCCCGGGCUUAACCUGGGAAUGGCAGUUGAGACUGUACGGCUAGAGUGUGUCAGAGGGGGGUAGAAUUCCACGUGUAGCAGUGAAAUGCGUAGAGAUGUGGAGGAAUACCGAUGGCGAAGGCAGCCCCCUGGGAUAACACUGACGCUCAGGCACGAAAGCGUGGGGAGCAAACAGG